UCCCGCCGCCGCGGGCACCGCCGGGCCGGCAGCGGCGGGUCCGGGCUCGCGGCGGUUCCCCGUAGCGCGGUGCUGACGCUGCAGCUCUUGCCAGCGUUUGCCCGAAAGGCUGAGAUUUGGAACCGAGGCAGCAGCCAGCGUUACCCUCGCACUGCGAAGAGCAAAGCCCUUAGAAGUGCACACGAGGAGGAUCUAUUUUGAUAACUUCUGAGUCCACAAGUGAAGACAAAUGUGGAUUUGUCCGUCUGUUCCUGCUUUAUAUUAAGUGCAUGGACCUAACAACCCUCAGGGUGUUGUUACCGAACGAUACAAUAAGUACCCAGCACGAGCUCUGAACCUCCGAACCAGACAGAAUGACUGCUCCCUCCCAAGGGCUAAUGCAGAGCACUAUCUCUCCCCCCCACCUCCUCCCUUUGCCAAUGAACAGCUCAGAGGCACACACCAAUGCUUUCUCAGCAACGUAGGAGGAAGUUGUUGGGCUGCUGCAGAGGAGAGGAGCAGAUCUUCCCACACAGAUCUGUGCAUCAGAGAGCUGACACCAGAUCUGUUCUGAAGAAUUGCAGAGUGAGGAGUCUCCCUUCUCAUUAUACUGCAGUAUUAUCUGAAGUCUUUCAUAGUCUAUGUAACAAAUGUGGCUAUGUACAAAAAAUUAAAUAAAAAACAAUGUACUCAG